UGGCGGCAUGCCUAACACAUGCAAGUCGAACGAAGGCUUCGGCCUUAGUGGCGCACGGGUGCGUAACGCGUGGGAAUCUACCCUUAGGUUCGGAAUAACUCAGAGAAAUUUGAGCUAAUACCGGAUGAUGUCUUCGGACCAAAGAUUUAUCGCCUUUGGAUGAGCCCGCGUAAGAUUAGCUAGUUGGUAGGGUAAAGGCCUACCAAGGCGACGAUCUUUAGCUGGUCUGAGAGGAUGAUCAGCCACACUGGGACUGAGACACGGCCCAGACUCCUACGGGAGGCAGCAGUGGGGAAUAUUGGACAAUGGGCGCAAGCCUGAUCCAGCAAUGCCGCGUGAGUGAUGAAGGCCUUCGGGUCGUAAAGCUCUUUUACCAGGGAUGAUAAUGACAGUACCUGGAGAAUAAGCUCCGGCUAACUCCGUGCCAGCAGCCGCGGUAAUACGGAGGGAGCUAGCGUUGUUCGGAAUUACUGGGCGUAAAGCGCG
rnacentral:rRNA from 1 species